AAUGUCAAAAAAAAAAAAAAUACUGCGAUGCCAAAAUAACUACCAACUGUCGACGGGUUUAAUCUAGGGUUUUAGUCCCAAACCCACCCCUCAAAUUUGGGCCUAAUUCUGCGAAUCAUGGACCCAUCAGAGGCGCCGAAAUGCGACGUCGCUCCGGCCACUGCUACCGCAUAUCUCGACCCAAACUAUUGGGAUCAGAGGUUUCAUCAAGAAGAGCAUUACGAGUGGUUCAAAGACUAUUCUCACUUUCGUCACCUCAUUCUUGAAUACGUUAAAUCCAAGUCUGCUGUAUUAGAGGUUGGAUGUGGAAAUUCUCAGCUGUGUGAAGAGCUGUAUAAAGAUGGAAUUACUGAUCUUACCUGCAUUGACUUGUCAUCAGUUGCUGUUGAGAAGAUGAAGCAGCGAUUAUUAACCAAGGGCUAUAGAGAAAUAAAAGUGCUGGAAGCUGAUAUGUUACAGAUGCCUUUUGAAGAUGCAUGUUUUGAUGUGGUUGUAGAGAAAGGAACCAUGGAUGUAUUGUUCGUGGACUCUGGAGAUCCCUGGAAUCCGGAACCUGUGACAGUGAGUAAAGUGAUGGCAAUGCUUGAAGGUGUUCAUAGAGUUUUGAAACCCAAUGGUAUCUUCAUCUCCAUCACCUUUGGCCAGCCGCACUUCAGACGACCUUUGUUCAAUGCUCCCACAUUUACAUGGUCAAUUGAAUGGAAAACGUUUGGCGAUGGGUUUCAUUAUUUCUUCUAUAUCUUGAAGAAGGGCGAGAGAUCAUCAGAUGACGUUGAGUAUAUUGAAAAGCCUGACUUGCCGUCCCUCUCUCUCUACCAUGAGGAAUUGGAGGGUGAAGACUAUCUGUUUCGUACGAAUCUGGAUGAGAUGUGAAGUCUGAUUUCUCGACUCCUAGUAACUUUGUCCUCACAGUGUUAGUGUUCCUUGUUACAAAGAAUAUUAGAGAUUGGGGAAACGUAUUGGUUGGAGGAAAAGCGUCUUACCAACUGAGCUGCACUUCGUUGUUGUAUUUCACUUCAUUUCCGGAUAAGUAUCAAACUGUCCACAACAUAGAAAUAGGGUCCGAAGCAUAUUUGGGAUUGUGAGUGUGAAGAACAUAUUAGAUUUCAUUCGGCUGUGUCCGAAUAAUCGUACCAUAUAGUACUGAAUGGUAAUUAUAUUGCAGUACCGCUGUUUUUAUUUUUUACCUAGCCCCUAA